GGGGGGAAUUCUAGAUACUUUUCCGUACUUUGUAUCUGGCGUACUUCAUCUAAUUUCCUCCGCAGUCUUAGGCUUCGGUAGCAUUUAUCACGCGCUUCUGGGACCCGAGACUCUUGAGGAAUCUUUUCCAUUCUUUGGUUAUGUCUGGAAAGAUAGAAAUAAAAUGACUAAAACUAG